rnacentral:rRNA from 1 species
AACAGGGAAGAAGCUUUGCUUUCUUUCGCUGACGAGUGGCGGACGGGUGAGUAAUGUCUGGGAAACUGCCUGAUGGAGGGGGAUAACUACUGGAAACGGUAGCUAAUACCGCAUAACGUCGCAAGACCAAAGAGGGGGACCUUCGGGCCUCUUGCCAUCGGAUGUGCCCAGAUGGGAUUAGCUAGUAGGUGGGGUAAAGGCUCACCUAGGCGACGAUCCCUAGCUGGUCUGAGAGGAUGACCAGCCACACUGGAACUGAGACACGGUCCAGACUCCUACGGGAGGCAGCAGUGGGGAAUAUUGCACAAUGGGCGCAAGCCUGAUGCAGCCAUGCCGCGUGUAUGAAGAAGGCCUUCGGGUUGUAAAGUACUUUCAGCGGGGAGGAAGGGAGUAAAGUUAAUACCUUUGCUCAUUGACGUUACCCGCAGAAGAAGCACCGGCUAACUCCGUGCCAGCAGCCGCGGUAAUACGGAGGGUGCAAGCGUUAAUCGGAAUUACUGGGCGUAAAGCGCACGCAGGCGGUUUGUUAAGUCAGAUGUGAAAUCCCCGGGCUCAACCUGGGAACUGCAUCUGAUACUGGCAAGCUUGAGUCUCGUAGAGGGGGGUAGAAUUCCAGGUGUAGCGGUGAAAUGCGUAGAGAUCUGGAGGAAUACCGGUGGCGAAGGCGGCCCCCUGGACGAAGACUGACGCUCAGGUGCGAAAGCGUGCGGAGCAAACAGGAUUAGAUACCCUGGUAGUCCACGCCGUAAACGAUGUCGACUUGCAGGUUGUGCCCUUGAGGCGUGUCUUCGGGAGCUAACGCGUUAAGUCGACCGCCUGGGGCAGUACGGCCGCAAGGUUAAAACUCAAAUGAAUUAGACGGGGGCCCGCACAAGCGUUGGAGCAUGUGGUUCAAUUCGAUGCUACGCGAAGAACUUAACCUGGUCUUGACGUCCACAGAA